CACAACAAGCAGCGGAGAACUCGCAGCCUUGCGUCCGGAACCCGAAUCCGCACCCGGCAACCGGAGCAGACCAUUGUGGAGCCGGCUGCGGGGGGGAGCUGGGGGAUGCGGGCGCUCACAGGCCCACUCUGCCCACCCAGCCCCCUUGUUACACUACAUCCUGAGCCUAGAGGCUCUGUACUCUGCACAUAACCACCAGCAAAGUUUUGGAAAACACAGCAGCCAGGACCCAUCUCUGUAGUGACUUUGCAGACAUGUUUUGAGCGCCUGCUGUGUCUCAAGCCCUGUCCUAGGCACUGGAGAUGAGAUGAAGAAACGAUGAGUAGAGGCCUUGCUUACGUUUAUCCUGCAACUCAUGAUGAGGCUUACUCUGCAACUCCAGUGCUCGGCUUUUUACACAACAGAGUCUCUGUUGCCCAGGCUGGAGUACAGUCGCACGAUCUUGGCUCACUGCAACCUCUGCCUCUCAGGUUCGAGUGAUUCUUCUGCCUCAGCCUCCCAAGUUGCUGGGAUUACAGAAACGGGUAUGCAGGAGAUUAGAAGCCAGUGGGCAUGAGCGUGGCUGCCACCAGGUGAAUGCCUGUGCCCUGGCGUCCUGGGGCCCAGAGGACCGGGAGCUUCCAUCAAGAGGCUGCCUCCCAGCACCAAGGCCAGAGAGUGGCCAGGGGAGGCUAAGUACAGGGAUUUCUCAGAAUGGUGGAAGGAGCUCAGCCCAGCCUUGCCCAAGAUGUAUUGCAGGGGAAUCUGGACAUUUUAGCCAUACCAAGAAUCAUUAGAAGAUGCAAGCUGGAAAAAAGAAGGUCCCAGUUUUGGUUUUGAACCCUUCAUGUUGCAGCAAAUGUGAAUCUCCUACAGAUGGGUUUGGGGACUUACCUGUUCAAAUAGCAGCCCGGUGUCCUCUGUGGGUGGGGGGAGGUUUGUCUGUCCUUUCAUUCUAGUAAAUCCACCAUCCUCUGCACGAGAGCCAGGAGAAUCCACAUCACUUCAAAAGAGCCCCCAAAUCCUUACUACGUACUACAGCCUCCUUUCGAAUGUUCCUGGUUGAGAGGGAGAUCAAUUGCAUUAUUUACAAGUCAAAAAAUUUUGUAUCAAACUUCCUAUGAGCUUGGGCACUCAUGGCCUAUGGAGGCCCACCCAGACGCAGCCCCGCCAUCAUGCUUUUUCGUUGUUUUGUGGAUGUACCCAGGGCUAUUUACACACUCUUUCAUUAAAAGGCUUAUUUUUAUAUUUAAAAUGUUCUAAUCUUGGAGUGAAUUUUACUAAAUGCUAGUGUCCAAUCUGUUCCCCAACUGAAGUUAUCAGAGACAGAAUCCCUUUUAUAUUCAAGUGGAAAUUACUCAUUUUCUCUUGGGUUUUCAAUGUAUCGUCUGACUGUGAGGCUGGCAUUAUUUUCUCUGGGUUUGAAAGCUUCCUGAGAUGUCCUGUUUGUAAGCUCCUGUCCGCAUCACGUUAUCUGCAGGGAAUGUGCUCCCUCCAGGGAGUGUCCUCGGCACUGAUGUGGGAAGAGCCCCCUCUAUAAGUCAUCAUGGCAUUCGGUCAUGGGAGAGUUCCAUACGGGAAAGAUGGAGCAGAGGAAGACAAGGUGUUGAAACCAGUACAGCACCACCUGGGAUAUGGAUGAUCCAGAAUUACAGGACACGUCUUCAUUAAGCCUGGAUGGUUCCACUUAAGACGCGGUUUCACUGGCAUCCAUAGUAAU
rnacentral:lncRNA from 1 species